rnacentral:tRNA from 1 species
GCGCCUACGAAGCGUCGUUUGCGCGUGGCAGCUUCACGAGCUGCCCGCGGGGUUCGAGCGACCGUUCGAUGCGGUCGAGGCGCUC